rnacentral:sRNA from 12 species
UAAUACUGCAGGUAGAAAUACGCUGUAUACUCGUGUAAUCGAAUUAACGUUUAAGCGAUAUGUAAUGUCGUCGAUCACGGGGGCCGCCUUCGGGCGGCUUUUUUACUUU